rnacentral:rRNA from 1 species
UGCAGUCGACGAUGAAGCCCAGCUUGCUGGGUGGAUUAGUGGCGAACGGGUGAGUAACACGUGAGUAACCUGCCCUUAACUCUGGGAUAAGCCUGGGAAACUGGGUCUAAUACCGGAUAGGAGCGCCCACCGCAUGGUGGGUGUUGGAAAGAUUUAUCGGUUUUGGAUGGACUCGCGGCCUAUCAGCUUGUUGGUGAGGUAAUGGCUCACCAAGGCGACGACGGGUAGCCGGCCUGAGAGGGUGACCGGCCACACUGGGACUGAGACACGGCCCAGACUCCUACGGGAGGCAGCAGUGGGGAAUAUUGCACAAUGGGCGAAAGCCUGAUGCAGCGACGCCGCGUGAGGGAUGACGGCCUUCGGGUUGUAAACCUCUUUCAGUAGGGAAGAAGCGAAAGUGACGGUACCUGCAGAAGAAGCACCGGCUAACUACGUGCCAGCAGCCGCGGUAAUACGUAGGGUGCGAGCGUUAUCCGGAAUUAUUGGGCGUAAAGAGCUCGUAGGCGGUUUGUCGCGUCUGUCGUGAAAGUCCGGGGCUUAACCCCGGAUCUGCGGUGGGUACGGGCAGACUAGAGUGCAGUAGGGGAGACUGGAAUUCCUGGUGUAGCGGUGGAAUGCGCAGAUAUCAGGAGGAACACCGAUGGCGAAGGCAGGUCUCUGGGCUGUAACUGACGCUGAGGAGCGAAAGCAUGGGGAGCGAACAGGAUUAGAUACCCUGGUAGUCCAUGCCGUAAACGUUGGGCACUAGGUGUGGGGACCAUUCCACGGUUUCCGCGCCGCAGCUAACGCAUUAAGUGCCCCGCCUGGGGAGUACGGCCGCAAGGCUAAAACUCAAAGGAAUUGACGGGGGCCCGCACAAGCGGCGGAGCAUGCGGAUUAAUUCGAUGCAACGCGAAGAACCUUACCAAGGCUUGACAUGUUCUCGAUCGCCGUAGAGAUACGGUUUCCCCUUUGGGGCGGGUUCACAGGUGGUGCAUGGUUGUCGUCAGCUCGUGUCGUGAGAUGUUGGGUUAAGUCCCGCAACGAGCGCAACCCUCGUUCCAUGUUGCCAGCACGUAAUGGUGGGGACUCAUGGGAGACUGCCGGGGUCAACUCCGAAGGAAGGUGAGGCCGACGUCAAAUCAUCA